CACGGGUGCAAUGCAUCAACAUGAGGGGUAUCAAAGGUUGGGCUAAACAACAGGAAGAGUCAAUGCUUGCAGCCUUUGGAAGUGAUGUGAGGGUGCUCUGUAUGGGCAGGUCCCUGAAGCCUUCUGAAGUGGUGACAACAGGUCAAAUAUGGAACAACAGCAUUGCAAAAUGACAAACCAUGGCAGUACACAACUCCAGUGAUUUUUCCCUUUGAAAGAAUAUGGUCAAAAGAGAUGGACUGGCUACAUGGCCUAGAAGGCCAGCACCUAAUGAUUGCAAUCAAAUAUUUUUGAGGCCCCCAGGAAAGCAAGUGAUUGAUGAAAAGCAGUGUCUGCAAGGAUGAAAGGAAGUCCUAGGGCUUCAGCAGGAGAAAGAAACCUCUUUAGCAUAUCAACUACAUCUUGUUAAUUACAAUCCUUAAAAAAUACAUGUGUCAAUGUGUGCAAAUUCUCAAGGAACAAUAACACAUAAAGCAUG